rnacentral:lncRNA from 1 species
CGGACCGCGCCGGCCUCGGCGGGUUCCAUGGCCCGCGGGCCGCGGCGGGGGCGUUGGGCGCGGGCGCGGCGGGGGCGGAGGUGGCGCGGUGCGCAUGCGCGGGCCGGCGGCAGCCGCGUCACCUGCCGGCCCGCGGGCGGCCCUGGAGUGUCUGCGGGAGGCCUCGACCUGCGGGCCGAGGGCUAGGAACAGCUGUGUGGAGCCUGUGGUCUCACCAAGGCAUUUCUGGAUGCCUUGGACCGCAUACCUACGGACUCAUCUUUCCUGCUGCAAAAGGCCUGGAACCUCAUUGUACCCGGAAGCCAUAGCCAGAAAUCACUGCAGUUCUCUUUUUUUUUUUGGUACUACUGUUUGAACUCACGACCUUGCGCGUGCGAGGCAGGCAUGGUGCCAAUGAGCUAUAUCCCUGGCCUGCAGUUCUUUAAUACACUACAUUUUAAAACAUUAAAACUGUAGAUCUGGGUUUGCUGUCCAUGUUUUUGUGACCCACUCUUACUCCUCAUUGACCUACCAGCACAGCAGCCAACCAGCCUAAGCCUGGUUAAGAGUAAAUUAUUAGAAAAAGAACCAUCCAUUUGAUCAAUCCAGAAGUCUAACGUGAUUUCACUAUUCAAAGCAGUAAUGAAUGAUUACCAACAACAUCCCCUGUUUCCUGACCAAAUGGAAAAGUGAAAAGAAUCUACUCACCAAAAACUUGAAACCUGGAGGGGCAAGAAAGACAAACUGGUCUACAUGUUGUAACAGGUUUGUAGAGUCCACCAGAGAAUUUUGAGGACCAAGUAACAACUACAAAAAUAGGAAAGAUGCUUUUUGAACUGAAUCUUUUAAAAUGACUGCAUUUUAAUAGGCAGAGAUGGUUAAGGCCUUUCAAAUACAGGCCAGAUUAAGGAGGGUAGAAACUUUUAUGUGUCAGGUACUUUAUGUAUGUCUAUGUGUGUUUACAUUUGGUUAUCCGGUGCCUGAAAAAUCUCAGAUAAUCCUCUUAAAGAAACAUACUUAAGAAUAAAGAGAAUUCUGAGAUCUGCUGGCCAGUGAGUGAUAGAUGAUGUAUCAACAUCUGGGGGUUUUUUGUUUUUUUGAGGGGGUGGUUUGUUUUGUUUUUUGAGACAGUCUCACUAUGUAGUUCAGGCUGGCCUUGUGAAAUGGAAAAAAAAAAAAAAAGGCAGAGACUUAGUCUCAAGACUUGCCUUUCCUGCUAAACCCAUGAAGGUCGCUGUGCCCUAAAGAUGAACUGCUGAAACACCUACCUGUAUCUUCCUAUGUCUUAGAGGUACACUGUUAGCACAACAUCUGCUUGUACCUCCCUGCCCCUGUGCUUAGUUCUGCUUCUGUAAAAUUCUUCUUGCUUCCCCACCCUGCAGAAAGAGCAAUAUAAAAAUAAAGACAAACAGUCAGGGCUCAGAUUCCUGGAAGGAGACUUCCACUGAGCCCACUAAUAAAUAAACCUACCUUUGCUUUCAACUCUC